rnacentral:lncRNA from 1 species
AUGAUCAAAGCUACAAAUGCCACGGGGACAAUAACUCGUACUCUGCUCCCUGCACUUGACCUUUUAUUGUUUUUUACCGAAUCUGCCUCUGAAGGUGGCAUUCGUAUAUAAAGAGUGUCCCCUGUAUCUGCAAACGUUCUGAUAUCAAUCAAGUCACCGAACCAAAGCAAGCAACCACCUCCAGAGCCUGAUAUAUUUGCAUUUGUGUAAGCAGUACAAGAACAAUUGCUUUUACACAUCUUCUCACACUCUACAAGGGUCAUCUUCAGGUUAUACCAUGACCCCUGAGUGUCUGGUAACUUUAGAUUUGAGUAUUUGUU